rnacentral:rRNA from 1 species
AGUGAACGCUGGCGGUAGGCCUAACACAUGCGAGUCGAACGGCAGCACAGUAAGAGCUUGCUCUUACGGGUGGCGAGUGGCGGACGGGUGAGGAAUACAUCGGAAUCUACUUUUUCGUGGGGGAUAACGUAGGGAAACUUACGCUAAUACCGCAUACGACCUACGGGUGAAAGCAGGGGAUCUUCGGACCUUGCGCGAUUGAAUGAGCCGAUGUCGGAUUAGCUAGUUGGCGGGGUAAAGGCCCACCAAGGCGACGAUCCGUAGCUGGUCUGAGAGGAUGAUCAGCCACACUGGAACUGAGACACGGUCCAGACUCCUACGGGAGGCAGCAGUGGGGAAUAUUGGACAAUGGGCGCAAGCCUGAUCCAGCCAUACCGCGUGGGUGAAGAGGGCCUUCGGGUUGUAAAGCCCUUUUGUUGGGAAAGAAAAGCAGCAGGUUAAUACCCCGCUGUUCUGACGGUACCCAAAGAAUAAGCACCGGCUAACUUCGUG